UACAGAGGGUGCAAGCGUUGUUCGGAAUUAUUGGGCGUAAAGGGCGCGUAGGCGGUGCGGUAAGUCUGUAGUGAAAUCUCUGGGCUCAACCUGGGAAUGGCAGUGGAUACUGGAAAGCUAGAGUGCGGUAGAGGGUAGUGGAAUUCCCGGUGUAGCAGUGAAAUGCGUAGAGAUCGGGAGGAACACCAGUGGCGAAGGCGGCUACCUGGACCAGCACUGACACUGAGGCACGAAAGCGUGGGGAGCAAACAGG
rnacentral:rRNA from 1 species